rnacentral:rRNA from 1 species
AUGUUUGUGUUUUACCAAUGGCCAUGCUGGUGGGAGAGGGCACUUGAUGGUGAAGGGGAUAUCCUUCACAACCAAUUACAAUGUUGUUACACGUGGCAAUAUUGUUUAAAUAAGAAUGCUUCCAGUUAUAUGUUUAUGGAUGUUUUUCCAUCGUUUGAGUGCUCCCCCAAAAAAAUGCAUUGCAUUGCUGAUGACCAUGUGAAAGAAAGUGCAUCAAAGUUAAGUUUCAUCUACUAUGGAAGUAAGAUUGUUUUCUUUUUUAUUCACAAAAAGGGCUUUUUGUUGUGGAAAACAAUAAUGGUCAUAAAAUUACUUAUAGCCUGA